CCGGUGGUGGUCAAGUGGGGUAGGGCGUUUUAUAACCACUUAGAAGGUCAGGGGUUCGAAUCCCUUCCGCUGAC
rnacentral:tRNA from 1 species